rnacentral:antisense_RNA from 1 species
CUUCAGGGACCCCAGCCACAGCGGCCGGUCCGCGGGCCGGCCCUGCCCGUAGGCGGCCAGUACCGCGCCCGCCUC